GCUUUGGUGUUUUUCCCUUUGUCUUCUUUCUAGCCCCUCCCUUAGUUUUGCCAUUGAGUCCCGUAUAAUUCCGCUCUUGUUUACAUAUGUGCAGCAUUCUUCUCUUAAAGCAGCACAUAGUCCUCCUUGUUGCAGGAAUAAUAGAUUUAACCCCCUUCGAUUUUGUAAGGCUACCUCUGCUAGGGAAUCUAAUGAUUCUGUGAGGUCUUCAUCUACAGAGGCUCUUAGUUCUUGGAAUCCUCGGUGUUGCUGUAUGAGUGAGGCUAUUCCUGUUCCUGUCCCGGCUGCAGCUAUUCCUAGUAACAUUGCUACAGUGAAGGUUGUGAAUAUUUCCCGUUUCACUAUGUGGGGUCCUAUAUUUUGAUAUUGUUCAUAAACGUACUCUACGGGGUGGUAAAGGACUCUGGGUACUAUCAAUACUUGAAUACAAAAGUCACUGGAUUCAUUAAAUCGGUCUAUAUUUAUA